UACGGGGGGGGCAAGCGUUGUUCGGAAUUACUGGGCGUAAAGGGCGCGUAGGCGGCCUUCUAAGUCGGACGUGAAAUCCCUCGGCUCAACCGAGGAACUGCGUCUGAUACUGGAAGGCUUGAAUCCGGGAGAGGGAUGUGGAAUUCCAGGUGUAGCGGUGAAAUGCGUAGAUAUCAGGAGGAACACCGGUGGCGAAGGCGCUCUGCUAGGCCGCAACUGACACUGAGGGACGAAAGCUAGGGGAGCGAAUGGG
rnacentral:rRNA from 1 species